GUGCUUGCUUCAGCAGCACAUAUAUAAAAUUGGAACGAUACAGAGAAGAUUAGCAUGGCUCCUAUGCAAGGAUGACACGUGAAUUUGUGAAGCAUUCCAUAUUUUU